rnacentral:rRNA from 1 species
UACGUAGGGUGCGAGCGUUGUCCGGAAUUAUUGGGCGUAAAGAGCUCGUAGGCGGUGUGUCACGUCGUUCGUGAAAACCUGCAGCUUAACUGUGGGCGUGCGGUCGAUACGGGCAUCACUGGAGUUCGGCAGGGGAGACUGGAAUUCCUGGUGUAGCGGUGAAAUGCGCAGAUAUCAGGAGGAACACCCAUGGCGAAGGCAGCUAACUGGGCAUUAUCUGACGCUGGAGGCGCGAAAGCGUGGGUAGCAAACAGG